UACAGAGGUCCCAAGCGUUAUCCGGAGUUACUGGGCGUAAAGGGCGUGUAGGUGGUUUCGUAAGUCUGGCGUGAAAUUUUUCGGCUUAACCGGGAAAGGUCGUCGGAUACUGCAGAACUAGAGGACGGUAGAGGCGUGUGGAAUUCCGGGUGUAGUGGUGAAAUGCGUAGAGAUCCGGAGGAACACCAGUGGCGAAGGCGACACGCUGGGCCGUACCUGACACUGAUGCGCGACAGCAUGGGGAGCAAACAGG
rnacentral:rRNA from 1 species